AUAUAUUUAAAAACAAUCCUUGUUACAACUUUCAGUCCUGUGCCACAAUGGCCAACUGACUAAGACAAUCAGUUUACAAUCAUUUUACCUAUCUUAAUAUACAUGCAAGUGACAUGUACGUCCGGUGAGUUCACAACUUAUCAUUAACAAAAUACUGUUCCAAUGAGAUAAUCCUAGCCCAUGGCUGAGGAAUCUAAGUUAUUUCCUACUUACUUUAAUCAACUAAAUAUAUCUUUUAACAAUAACAAAACUAAAUUAACUAAUACAAUAUAUAGGAAUAUAUGACAAUUGGUUCUCUCAGAUGCAUCCAGGUGACCAAUUUUUUUUGGUCAUUUCGAUCAAUUAGUUUUUACAGUGUGAUCAGCACUCAGUCUAAUAAUGCGAGAGCCAGUCUGACAACGAGAACCAUUAAAUCCUUCUCUGCACACACACUGGUACAUGGACACACCAUUCACAGCAUAAUCACGACAUGUAGCACCAUUCAGACAACGUUGACGUUCUAUCACACAGUGUCACCGCAGACAUUCACUCGCUCUCCAUUUGUCAUAACAGAAAUAUUUUUCAGGACACUGCAAUUGAUCAC